UGUGAGUCUUGUAGCAUACGAGGCAGACGGCUCAGUAACACGUAGCCUAUCUAACCUAUGGACGGGGAUAACCUCGGGAAACUGAGGAUAAACCCCGAUAGAUCAUUAUGCCUGGAACGGUUUAUGGUCCAAACGAUUCGUCGCCAUAGGAUGAGACUGCGGCCUAUCACCUUGUUGGUGAGGUAAUGGCCCACCAAGGCUAUUACAGGCACGGGCUCUGAGAGGAGAAGCCCGGAGAUGGGUACCGAGACACGGACCCAGGCCCUAUGGGGCGCAGCAGGCGAGAAACCUUUGCAAUGUGCGCAAGCACGACAAGGUUAAUCCGAGUGUUUCCUGCUAAAGGAAUCUUUUGCUAGUCCUAAAAACACUAGUGAAUAAGGGGUAGGCAAGUUCUGGUGUCAGCCGCCGCGGUAAAACCAGCACCUCAAGUGGUCAGGAGGAUUAUUGGGCCUAAAGCAUCCGUAGCUUGCUCUGUAAGUUUCCGGUUAAAUCCAUUAGCUUAACUGAUGGGCCGCCGGAAAAACUGCAGAGCUAGGGAGUGGGAGAGGUAGACGGUACUCGGUAGGAAGGGGUAAAAUCCUUUGAUCUAUUGAUGACCACCUGUGGCGAAGGCGGUCUACCAGAACACGUUCGACGGUGAGGGAUGAAAGCUGGGGGAGCAAACCGGAUUAGAUACCCGGGUAGUCCCAGCUGUAAACGAUGCAGACUCGGUGAUGCCCUGGCUUGUGGACAGUGC
rnacentral:rRNA from 1 species